GGAAUCUGGCCUGGCCUCCUGCUCCGACGGAAGCCGAGCUCCCAGGUGUGCCGCCUCCCUGGGGUCUCACCUGCGAAGCCUGCUGUCUUCCUCUUACUGCGCAGAGCUGCCCCACACCGGACUCUGCUAAUUCUGCUUGUUCACUUUUCCCUUUCAGACAUUUGAUGCCAACGAUUUGUAUCAGGGGCAGAAUUUCAGCAAGGUCCUCAGCUCCUUAGUGACUCUAAAUAAAGUAACAGCAGCUUUUAAGCAAGAGGACUGAGCCUUCUCAGAUGAAGAGAACUUUUCGCUUCUGUAUUUGUUGGCCACUGCUCUUCACUUGCGUCUCUGAGCCUUGUGAGGUGCGUGAAGCGUGCCCGCCGUCGUGCCGAGGGCAUCGUCCUCAGAAGGGCCUUUCUGGAUGGAAAGUGCCGGGGGUUCUGUUUGUUUCAAGUGAGGGGAAGGUACCGAAAACAGUUACGAAACGCGUUGUAAACUGGGAACUUAGAUAGAGAAGGGCUGCUAAGUGGUUACGUUCAGACAUCGGCCUGGGAAGUGACUCCGUGUGUGCCCGGCCCUCCUCUCACCGGAUCAAGUCUUUCGACUCCCUGGGACCCCAGCCUUCGCACGGUCGGACUUCAAAAUUGUUCCAGGGCCAGUAUCGGAGUUUGGACAUGACGGAUAAUAGCAACAAUCAACUGGUCGUAAGAGCCAAGUUUAACUUCCAGCAGACCAAUGAAGACGAGCUGUCCUUUGCGAAAGGCGACGUCAUCCACGUCACGCGGGUGGAGGAAGGGGGCUGGUGGGAGGGCACGCACAGCGGCAGGACCGGCUGGUUCCCCAGCAACUACGUGCGCGAGAUCAAGCCCAGCGGUGAGUGGCCGGCGGGGGCAGCAGGAGGCAGGGCACGUGCUCGGGACGCUCGCCGCACCUGGCUCCCCGUCCUGGGCGGGGUCGCUCUCCGUGUUCUUUCUGCGAGGGGGAGUGGUGUUUGCCCCCGCGCUGGGGAAAGGGCUGCACGGUCACAGGCUAGCUUUUCAUUCCAUUGCGACAUCAGCACUUUAAAAUAGGGACUUACUCUGUUAUUUUCCAUUUGUAAGGAGAAACUAUCUCAAAUCUGUUAGUUUUUAUUUUUGUGGUUACACUUUUAUAUAAGGUAAAAUUUAUUACCCUUUUGUAGGGCUAGUGUCAGGACUGGGAGUUUGCUCUAUCAUGCAAGCUAUGUUGAGUUUCUUACUGUGGGUGCUUUUGCCCAUCAUGUACAGUUAAGUAAUUUCUGUCCUUUUCUUUGUGCUAAUAAUAGCAUUUUAAAAUGCAUCGCUUUCCUUAGGUUUUCUGCAAUUGCUUAAUAUUAGUGAAUUUAAAAAGUUACUCAGAGGCUUAUCUUAUUUUGAAAGGGAAUAGUGGUACUGGCACUUUUUUCAUUUCUGCUUAGAUUCACGUCGUGGAAUCGCAGGUUCUCUCUACGGCCUGGGAUCUGUGAUUUAUGUCACUCCGGUAUGGGUGUGAAAGUUCUGGCGCACGGCCUCUGCGUGUGUGUGCGUGGUGCUGUCCUGCGUGGCGUCACGGCGGGGUAAUGGCAGGCCACCCGAGCACGUUUGCCCGGCAGUCCCUCGUUCCCUGAAGCAGCGUUAAUUUAUCGACAGAGACUGCUGGUUUUAUCAGUGCAGUCAUGUAGUCCUUGCCUUCAUGGGUUCCUGUGUAUUUGUGUAUAUGUUUGUAUUCAUAUGAAGCUGGGGUGUAGGCGCUCUGAUGAGUGAGAUUUCAGAAGCGGCGUCUUGAAGGGAAGAGUGGGUGGCCGGAGACGCAGAGGUGGGGAGAGAUUUGCAAGCCGAGUCUGCUGUGACUUGACUCGCGUGUCAUCCGUUGACUGGAAAGGCCUUGCUGCGUGCUGCGGUGUUCUGGUUCUGCCUGGGGAGAGUGGUGGUGGUCCGCGGUGCGGGUAGGGCCGCGUGGGAGGAGUGUGAUGGGAGUGGCUCCGCGCGGGGAGGAGCACCGGGGCCCGCGGGCGUUUCAGGUUAGGGUGCCGGGGCGGCGCUCCCUCGCGGGGUCAGCGGGGCUCCCUCGUUGGGGUUGGUCCAGCCUGUGCUGCGGGCCUGGCACAGAGCAGGAGCUCAGGGAGCCAUAACUGCUGCUCUUUGGAUUUUGAGGUGGCAAGAAGAAAGGCUGUCUAAAAGAGAAUGUGACAGCUUUGAUAAAACGAGUAUUUUCCUGGCAGUGACGUCAAACCGUAAGUAUUUUAAUAAGGCAGCCUGCAGCCCUGAUUGGUAAAGGUUUCCGGUGUUGGAUUCUGGGGGGAAUAACACGUGCUUCUUCUGUCUUUUUUAGAUUGUAGUAAAAUUUACCAUAAUGUAAAAUUGACCAUUUUAACUGUUUAAAAAAAAAUUUUUAUGUGUACAGUGUAGUGGCACUAAGUACGUUCACAUUGUUGUGCAGCCAUCACCACCAUCCGUCUCAGAACUUUCUCAUCUUCCCAAACUCUCAACCCAUUAAACAGUUCCUGUCUCCCCUGAGCCCCUGGCAG